rnacentral:rRNA from 1 species
UACGAAGGGGGCUAGCGUUGCUCGGAAUCACUGGGCGUAAAGCGCGCGUAGGCGGAUCGUUAAGUCGGGGGUGAAAUCCUGGAGCUCAACUCCAGAACUGCCUUUGAUACUGGCGAUCUUGAGUCCGGGAGAGGUGAGUGGAACUCCGAGUGUAGAGGUGAAAUUCGUAGAUAUUCGGAAGAACACCAGUGGCGAAGGCGGACUCACUGGCCCGGUACUGACGCUGAGGUGCGGAAAGCGU